rfam:Schistosoma mansoni strain Puerto Rico chromosome 4, complete genome
AUCCAGCUGACACGUCCAAAAUAGGACGAAACGCACUUCCUCGAU